rnacentral:rRNA from 1 species
AGUGGGGAAUAUUGCACAAUGGGCGCAAGCCUGAUGCAGCCAUGCCGCGUGUAUGAAGAAGGCCUUCGGGUUGUAAAGUACUUUCAGCAGUGAGGAAGGGUAUGUAGUUAAUAGCUGCAUGCUUUGACGUUAGCUGCAGAAGAAGCACCGGCUAACUCCGUGCCAGCAGCCGCGGUAAUACGGAGGGUGCGAGCGUUAAUCGGAAUUACUGGGCGUAAAGCGCAUGCAGGUGGUUUGUUAAGUCAGAUGUGAAAGCCCGGGGCUCAACCUCGGAAUUGCAUUUGAAACUGGCAGGCUAGAGUACUGUAGAGGGGGGUAGAAUUUCAGGUGUAGCGGUGAAAUGCGUAGAGAUCUGAAGGAAUACCGGUGGCGAAGGCGGCCCCCUGGACAGAUACUGACACUCAGAUGCGAAAGCGUGGGGAGCAAA